rnacentral:rRNA from 1 species
AGAGUUUGAUCCUGGCUCAGGAUGAACGCUGGCGGCGUGCCUUAGGCAUGCAAGUCGAACGAAAAAUUCUUAGGAAUAAUUGAGUGGCAGACGGGUGAGUAACGCGUGGGAAUCUACCUCUUGGUGUGGAAUAGCCUUCCGAAAGGAGGGGUAAUACCGCAUGAUGUCUUCGGAUCAAAGACCGUAACUGGUCGCCGAGAGAGGAGCCUGCGUCCUAUCAGCUUGUUGGUGAGGUAAUGGCUCACCAAGGCGACGACGGGUAGGGGGAGUGAGAGCUUGGCCCCCCACAAGGACACUGAGACACGGGUCCUACAUCUACGGAUGGCAGCAACCAGGAAUAUUGCGCAAUGGACGAAAGUCUGACGCAGCGACGCCGCGUGUGGGAAUAAGGCCUUCGGGUUGUAAACCACUGUGGAGGGGGAGCAAGAUCUGAGAGUACCCCUCUAGAAAGCACCUGCUAACUACGUGCCAGAAGCCUCGGUAAUACGUAGGGUGCAAGCGUUAUCCGGAUUUACUGGGCGUAAAGCGUACCGUAGGCGGUUUAUUAAGUAUAUGGUUAAAGACCUCGGCUCAACUGAGGAAAGGCUAUGUAUACUGGUAAACUUGAGGGUUACAGGGAGUGCUGGAAUUUUCGGUGAAGGAGUGAAAUCCGUUGAUAUCGAAAGGAACACCAAUGGCGAAGGCAGGCACUUGGGUAACUCCUGACGCUAAGGGACGAAAGCUAGGGUAGCAAACGGGAUUAGAGACCCCGGUAGUCCUAGCCGUAAACGAUGGAUACUAGCUGGUCGCACUAGAUGUGGCUGGCGUAAGCUAACGCGUUAAGUAUCCCGCCUGGGAAGUACGGCCGCAAGGCUAAAACUCAAAGGAAUUGACGGGAGAGCGCACAACCGGUGGAGCAUGUGGUUUAAUUCGAUACGAAGCGAAGUACCUUACCUGGGUUUGACAUGUACCUGCACGUUCUAGGAAACUAGAUCAGCCUUAGAGGGUGGUACACAGAUGUUGCAUGGCUGUCGUCAGUUCGUGUCGUGAGGCGUCCGCUUAAGUGCGGUAACGAACGCAACCCCUAUCGUGUGUUAAAUAUUCACGCGAGACUGCCCUCGAUAGUAUCGUGGGAGGAAGGAGGGGACGACGUCAAGUCAGCAUGACUCUUACAUCCAGGGCUACACACAUCCUACAAUGGGAAGUAACAAUGGGUCGCCAACCAGUAAUGGGGAGCUAAUCCCACCAAACCUUCCCUCAGUUCGGAUUGAGGGCUGCAAUUCGCCCUCAUGAAGUUGGAAUCGGUAGUAAUCGCAGGUCAGCAGACUGCGGUGAAUACGUUCUCGCUCUUUGUACACACCGCCCGUCAAGUGAGCAAAGUUGGCAGUGCCUGAAGUCGGCAUUCUAAACCAGAUUUAUCUGGGUAGAUCCGCCAAAGGUAAGGUCAGCGAUGAGCGCUAAGUCGUAACAAGGUAACC